rnacentral:rRNA from 1 species
AGCUCCAAUAGCGUAUAUUAAUGUUGCUGCAGUUAAAAAGCUCGUAGUUGAAUUUCUGACGUAACAUGCCUAGCCCGACAAGGUUACUUGUUGUGUGCUGGGUCGUGUUUGUCAUCCUUCUAGAAAAUGUUAUUGCUCUUCACUGAGUGAUAGCACUAUCUAGAUCUUUUACUUUGAAAAAAUUAGAGUGUUUAAAGCAGGCUUUUGCUAUGAAUACAUUAGCAUGGAAUAAUAAUUUAGGACUUCGGUUCUAUUUUGUUGGUUUCUAGGACUGAAGUAAUGAUUGAUAGGGAUAGUUGGGGAUGCUGAUAUUCAUGGGCCAGAGGUGAAAUUCUUUGAUUCCAUGAAGAUCAACUUAUGCGAAAGCAUUCAUCAAGGAUAUCUUCU